GGGGAUGUAGCUCAGCUGGGAGAGCGCCUGCUUUGCAAGCAGGAAGUCAGGGGUUCGAAUCCCCUCAUCUCCACCA
rnacentral:tRNA from 1 species